UGUUCUCAAAUUACUAUGCUCAUUACAAUAAAAGCUAAUAAACAUAAUUAGACACUUAUUUUUACUUUAUUGGCACUAUUUAAAAAUUAAACAUUAUUAAUAGAAACAAAUAUUAAACCAUGCACAACAAACACUAUUAACACUUCCGCACAAACAAGCAGACGCAGCAUAACGCAUCUUGUGAGGUGGAGGCUCCGCCCAUAGAACGAAUCGCGCCCCGUUGCUAUAGCAACUCUGGAACUUUGGAAUGCGAUUUCUCUGAUUCUCUGGAUUUGUCUGUUGGCUCUCAAAUAUUUACAUGUGUAUUUCUAUGGUUGACUCUUACGACACCCACACUGCAAGUUGCAAAUUGACUGUACAUUUUACAGCAGUAAUUAACAUCACAGUAUCUCAGUUAUACUGUACAUCUCCCAUGAUGGAGAAGAAAUGCAAAAAGAACUUUUGGACGACACUUUUUGGCAAUAAAAGAGCUAGUAAAAAAUCCAGCAGUAACACUAGCUCCAGUGAAGCUGAGAAGAAGGACCAGGGUGUGGAUGCUGCCAUGCUACAGUCUCUAAAAGAUGCUGAGGAAGCUGCAGUCCACACCAGGUCUGACUGGAAUGCUAAUGGGGCGCAAGAAAGACAGAAGGAGAAAUCCAAGAGCAAAAAGAACCUCUGGAAAGUCCUCCUCAAAGCUGUUGGCUGCUCUAACAUUGACACUGCCCUCGUCAAUGAUGCCACUGAAAAGCCCUUUGAGCCCAACUGGACUGCUGACGUACCUGCAGUCCCUGAGGCCUCUGAAAGUCCAGUCUGUGUGGUGUCCGGCUGUGCUCCUGAUGUCUGUGAAACCUAUGAAGUUCCAGUCUGCAUGGUGUCUGACUGUGUUCCUGAUACCUCUGAAGGUCCAGUCUGUGAGGUGUCCGACUGUGUUCCUGAUGCUUCUGAGGCCCCUGAGAGUGCAGUCUGCUUGGUGUCCGGCUGUGUUCCUGAUGUCUCUGAAGCCUAUGAAGGUCCAGUCUGUGUUGUGUCGGACUGUGUUUCUGAUGCUUCUGAGGACCCUGAGAGUGCAGUCUGCAUGGUGUCCGGCUGUGUUUCUGAUGCUUCUGAGGUCCAUAAAGGUCCAGUCUGUGUGGUGUCAGACUGUGUUCCUGAUUCCUCUGAGGCCCAUGAAGGUCCAGUCUGCAUGGUGUCUGACUGUGUUCCUGAUGCUUCAGAGGCCCAUGAAGGUCCAGU
rnacentral:lncRNA from 1 species